UGGGGAAUUUUGGACAAUGGGCGAAAGCCUGAUCCAGCAAUGCCGCGUGUGUGAAGAAGGCCUUCGGGUUGUAAAGCACUUUUGUCCGGAAAGAAAUCCUUGGCUCUAAUACAGUCGGGGGAUGACGGUACCGGAAGAAUAAGCACCGGCUAACUACGUGCCAGCAGCCGCGGUAAUACGUAGGGUGCAAGCGUUAAUCGGAAUUACUGGGCGUAAAGCGUGCGCAGGCGGUUUGCUAAGACCGAUGUGAAAUCCCCGGGCUCAACCUGGGAACUGCAUUGGUGACUGGCAGGCUAGAGUAUGGCAGAGGGGGGUUAGAAUUCCACGUGUAGCAGUGAAAUGCGUAGAGAUGUGGAGGAAUACCGAUGGCGAAGGCAG
rnacentral:rRNA from 1 species